GCCUCGUGGUGUAGUGGUCAACACGCUGGGCGCGUAUUCCAGAGGUCCGUGGUUCGAGUCCCGGCGAAGGCG
rnacentral:tRNA from 1 species